GCUUCACAAAAAAAUUUGGACCAAUUUCGCGAAAAAAUCUCGCACCCUGGCCCUAUUUCUGGCUAUACGUCUGUGUUAAUCGUAAUUGAUCAACUGAAUCAAUUCCAUCUUUAAUAGUUUGACUUUGGGGGGAGGGACGUAAAUUUAGAGCCCGCCGUGAACAUUGUGGGCUCUGUGGUUUCUUUUUAAGAGAGCUUAUUGAGGCAGAGAUUUUCUGCGAACCAACAUCAAGGUGGCAGACCAAAUUUUGACAACGCAAUUUCAGGGCACUAAGCUUUGAAAGGAAGUACAGAAUAAAAAUUGUGGUACCAUGCAAAAAAGUGCGAGGGGCAAGGCACGCAUAUAUUUACCACUAAAAGACCUAGAACUGCCUGUUACUAAAUAGUCUAUGCAAAGAGCCACAGCGGUAAUUCUCAUAUACUGUACUUUCAAGACAUUUCCCCUGAGACAACACUCGAACAUUUAUGAAAGACGCAUAGACUAAAUGUCUUACCGUUUGAUCCUGUAAAGAAGUAAGCGACUGUCAAAAAUGUUGAAAUUAUAGUAAACUUCAUUAUGUAGUUGGUGUUCACCUGUUACUGCUGAUCUCCACAAGUACUACGGUAUAUACCUGUUUUUCAAAGCAAACUGCAUGCUUUUUAAAUAUGUUUCUCUCAAGCAU